UACGUAGGUGGCAAGCGUUGUCCGGAUUUACUGGGCGUAAAGAGCGCGCAGGCGGUCGUGCAAGUCGCGUGUGAAAGCCCCCGGCUCAACUGGGGAGGGUCACGCGAUACUGCUCGACUCGAAGGCAGGAGAGGGAAGUGGAAUUCCCGGUGUAGUGGUGAAAUGCGUAGAUAUCUGGAGGAAUACCGGUGGCGAAGGCGGCGUUCUGGACUGCAACUGACACUGAUGAACGAAAGCCAGGGGAGCAAACGGG
rnacentral:rRNA from 1 species